rnacentral:rRNA from 1 species
GAAAAGAACCCCGGCGAGGGGAGUGAAAAAGAACCUGAAACCGUGUACGUACAAGCAGUGGGAGCACCCUUCGGGGUGUGACUGCGUACCUUUUGUAUAAUGGGUCAGCGACUUAUAUUCUGUAGCAAGGUUAACCGAAUAGGGGAGCCGGAGGGAAACCGAGUCUUAAUUGGGCGUUAAGUUGCAGGGUAUAGACCCGAAACCCGGUGAUCUAGCCAUGGGCAGGUUGAAGGUUGGGUAACACUAACUGGAGGACCGAACCGACUAAUGUUGAAAAAUUAGCGGAUGACCUGUGGCUGGGGGUGAAAGGCCAAUCAAACCGGGAGAUAGCUGGUUCUCCCCGAAAGCUAUUUAGGUAGCGCCUCGUGAAUUCAUCUCCGGGGGUAGAGCACUGUUUCGGCUAGGGGGCCAUCCCGGCUUACCAACCCGAUGCAAACUGCGAAUACCGGAGAAUGUUAUCACGGGAGACACACGGCGGGUGCUAACGUCCGUCGUGAAGAGGGAAACAACCCAGACCGCCAGCUAAGGUCCCAAAGUCAUGGUUAAGUGGGAAACGAUGUGGGAAGGCCCAGACAGCCAGGAUGUUGGCUUAGAAGCAGCCAUCAUUUAAAGAAAGCGUAAUAGCUCACUGGUCGAGUCGGCCUGCGCGGAAGAUGUAACGGGGCUAAACCAUGCACCGAAGCUGCGGCAGCGACACUGUGUGUUGUUGGGUAGGGGAGCGUUCUGUAAGCCUGUGAAGGUGUGUCGUGAGGCAUGCUGGAGGUAUCAGAAGUGCGAAUGCUGACAUAAGUAACGAUAAAGCGGGUGAAAAGCCCGCUCGCCGGAAGACCAAGGGUUCCUGUCCAACGUUAAUCGGGGCAGGGUGAGUCGACCCCUAAGGCGAGGCCGAAAGGCGUAGUCGAUGGGAAACGGGUUAAUAUUCCCGUACUUGGUGUUACUGCGAAGGGGGGACGGAGAAGGCUAUGUUGGCCGGGCGACGGUUGUCCCGGUUUAAGCGUGUAGGUGUGUGUUCCAGGUAAAUCCGGUUCACUUUAACACUGAGGCGUGACGACGAGGCACUACGGUGCUGAAGCAACAAAUGCCCUGCUUCCAGGAAAAGCCUCUAAGCAUCAGGUAACAUCAAAUCGUACCCCAAACCGACACAGGUGGUCAGGUAGAGAAUACCAAGGCGCUUGAGAGAACUCGGGUGAAGGAACUAGGCAAAAUGGUGCCGUAACUUCGGGAGAAGGCACGCUGACACGUAGGUGAAGUGAUUUACUCAUGGAGCUGAAGUCAGUCGAAGAUACCAGCUGGCUGCAACUGUUUAUUAAAAACACAGCACUGUGCAAACACGAAAGUGGACGUAUACGGUGUGACGCCUGCCCGGUGCCGGAAGGUUAAUUGAUGGGGUCAGCGCAAGCGAAGCUCCUGAUCGAAGCCCCGGUAAACGGCGGCCGUAACUAUAACGGUCCUAAGGUAGCGAAAUUCCUUGUCGGGUAAGUUCCGACCUGCACGAAUGGCGUAAUGAUGGCCAGGCUGUCUCCACCCGAGACUCAGUGAAAUUGAACUCGCUGUGAAGAUGCAGUGUACCCGCGGCAAGACGGAAAGACCCCGUGAACCUUUACUAUAGCUUGACACUGAACAUUGAGCCUUGAUGUGUAG